UUGUGAGGGAAAGGAGGCUCAGAUGGAAGGCCCAUUGGGCGCAGGGGGUCCAAGUCGUGGGAGCCCAGAGGAAGGCAGCUGGGCCAGCUGCUCGGGGCUGGCCAGGGCCCGCAGCAGCCCAUUCUCUUGCUCCAGCGCGGCGUUCCGCUCGGCCAGAUCCCGGAUCUGCUCCUUCAGUACCUCCACCUCCUCCCGGACCGCAAACAUGAGCUUCCGGAGCCACUGGAGAGACACGGGGAAGGUGAGAGGUGAGGCGAAGUCAGGAGCCAGCUAGCUGCCUUUCCAGGUGCCCCACUUCCCACCUCCAGCCCACCUCACGAAGCCCUGUACCUGUGACAGCAGAGAAUCAAGGGGAGGAGACUUUUGUCCAUCCCCCGGCGGGAUGAAGGCCGUUGCCCAAGGCCCCCCAGACCCCGGUGAAGAGGCUGUCCAGGUGCCCCUCGGACGGGGGAUGACUCCCGUGGGGAGCACGACUGAGCCAUCACAGGAAAAAAAAAAAAAAAAAAACCCUGAACACCCUACAGAGCCCAAAGAUGGACAGACACAAGAAUAGAACAUCAGCCCUGCUUGGCAGACAUCAGAGCAAAGAUGCCAAGUAAAUCCUUCAUUCUCGCCAGAAAUAAAGGAA